CCCAGAGAGCCGCAUUCUCAGACCCCUCGUUUUUCGAGACGGCGAUCAAAUUGGAUCGGAUAAACAUUUGAAGAAACAUGGAUAUAACAAUUCAAACGGGGGACUCACUUCCAGAAAUUCCAAAAUGUCACAAAUGCUGCAGUGAUUUUGACUACCAUCAAAGUGGUUCCCCCUAAAGCCAUGUGUGCCUGUCUACAUGGACAGUGAGCAGCAGUAAAAUUGCUAUUCUUUUUCAAUGCCUCAAAGCUCUGCUUUAUAAAUCAAAAACUCAACUGAACUUCAAGAAUGAAGUGGAGUUUAUUUGUAGUUUUCUUUUUUCCUGAAGUAGGCCCAACAUGUUUGUCAAUUGGAUUGUUUCUAUUAUUGUCAUAUAUGCAAUGUUUUUAUAUUAAUUAAUUGAUGUAUUUGUUUAUAUGGACAGGCCAUGCCUAUGUGAAAUGCAGGCAUUAUCCUGGCAGGAAGCUGAGCAGGUGUUCCUCAGUGGCCCUUCUUAUCACUCUAGUGAAGUCGAGGAAUUUGACAGAGCAGUUUCCAAAAGACAGAAAAAGAAGGAAAAAAAAUCACCUGCAGGAACAAGAUGAUGUUUAGGUGAUUGUUCAAUAAAGUACAGAAUUGUUUAUUAUUGGUGUUUUGUCUAUUCUUAUUUAAGUUUAGCUUCGGAUUCAAAAUAUCAAAAAACAGGUUUUGUAAUGUUAGCAUGAUGUUAAUGACCAUUACAGGUUGAACUGAACAAAAAAAAUAGAAUUUUAAUUAAAAAAACAACAACAUUGUAGCAAUAUAAUAUUACAUAAUAUUUUUCUAAAGAUAGUUCAAUCUGUAACUGUAUCCCUUCCAUCAGUAAUUUUCUUUUAAUUACACCCACGCUCAAAAAAAUAACUACUGGGUAAAUUGUUAGUCAGAGAACACAAUUCGUUUUUUGGCACAUGCAUUAAGCCGGGAAUGCAAAUAUUUAUUUGGAUAACUUUAAAUAAAACGAGACCGUAAUAUUGCAUCCUAUUGUUUUCAA